UAGCCUCUCCUAGGCUUUGUCUUGUUGACGUUUGGGUUCUUGGCUUCGGCAAAAGAAAUUCUAGACAACGUCUUGGAGAGCGCUACU
rnacentral:pre_miRNA from 1 species